rnacentral:rRNA from 1 species
AUUGAACGCUGGCGGCAGGCCUAACACAUGCAAGUCGAGCGGAGCGGCGGACGGGUGAGUAAUGCCUAGGAAUCUGCAUGGUGGUGGGGGAUAACGUACGGACACGGGCGCUAAUACCGCAUACUAUCAGAUGAGACUAGGUCGGAUUGGCUAGUUGGUGGGGUAAAGGCCUACCAAGGCGACGAUCCGUAACUGGUCUGAGAGGAUGAUCAGUCACACUGGAACUGAGAAACGGGCCAGACUCCUACGGGAGGCAGCAGGGGGGAAGAUUGGACAAUGGGCGAAAGCCUGAUCCAGCCAUGCCGCGUGUGGGAAGAAGGGCUUCGGAUUGUAAAGCACUUUAAGUUGGGAGGCGUUACCAACAGAAUAAGCACCGGCUAACUUCGUGCCAGCAGCCGCGGUAAUAC